rnacentral:rRNA from 1 species
UGCCAGCAGCCGCGGUAAUACGGAAGGUGCAAGCGUUAAUCGGAAUUACUGGGCGUAAAGCGCGCGUAGGCGGCUAGAUAAGUCGGGUGUGAAAGCCCCGGGCUCAACCUGGGAACUGCAUUCGAUACUGUCUGGCUAGAGUGUGAUAGAGGGAGGCGGAAUUCCGCAUGUAGCGGUGAAAUGCGUAGAGAUGCGGAGGAACACCAAUGGCGAAGGCAGCCUCCUGGAUCAACACUGACGCUGAGGUGCGAAAGCGUGGGGAGCAAACAGGAUUAGAUA